GGAGGAAGAGACGGAACAGAGGAGAAACCGGAGCUAUUCAAAGAUCGUUUCCGCCUAUCCAUGAGCUCCAUCGCCACCGCUGUGGAAGCAUCUGAUGUUGGGCUUCCAACAACUGCUUGAAGCUGAAACUGUGAUUACAUUAGGGGAAUUGAGAGAUUGGACAUUUGGUGAUGUGAACAGCAGAAGAGAAAACUAUGCUGAGAGAGAAGCAUCUGAUGUUGGGCUUCCAGCAACUGCUUGAAGCAGAGAACUGUGAUUACAUUAGGGGAAUUGAGAGAUUGGACACUUGGUAACAUGACCAGCAGAAGAGAAAACUAUGCUGAGAGAGAAACAUCUGAUUUUGGGCUUCCAACAACUGCUUGAAGCAGAAACUGUGAUACCUCAGGGGAAUUGAGAGAUUGGACAUCUGGUGAUGUGACCAGCAGAAGAGAAAACUAUGCAGAGGGAGAAACAUCUAAUUUUGGGCUUCCAACAACUGCUUGAAGCAGAAACUGUGAUACAUCAGGGGAAUUGAGAGAUUGGACAUUUGGUGAUGUGACCAGCGGAACAGAAAACUAUGCAGAGGGAGGUAAUAUAUGUGGUUUAUAUUUGAAGUGUUUGGUUAUCAUUUAUUCAAAUAAAAACAUG